AUUAAGUAACACUGUUACAGUGGACUCUGACUUCAAAUCAUGUGAGCCUUCGGAUGAGGAGAAGAGGAAGGCGGAACAGAUGAAGAUCACGAAAAGGGGAAAAGGGUGAAGGGCAAAUCCGAAGCAAUCCUUGCCAUCUAAGCCCUAAACCGCGCCCCCAGAUCCAAUUCAAUUCGGUGAAGGUCCUCGACAUCCUCUCCAAGAGCUUUCCCCGCCACGUUAAAUCCGACCUCAUUGCUGCCUUCAAGGAGCUCCUCCGGCAGAACCGGUGCGGCCUCGCCACUAAAGUUUUCUCUGUCAUCCGAUUGGAGCCUUGGAACCGCACCGACCUCUCUCCGUACAACCUCUCUCUGUACGUCGUCUGAUAUGUGAUCUGGAAGCGGUGGGGGAAGGGUCGAUCCCCUGUGAUGAUAAGGGCAUCAUUCAGGUGCUCUGGGCGGUGCUUGGCGCAGAUAGGCGGAAUCGGCAGGGAGGAUUUACGAGAUGAUUAAGAGGAGCGGGUUGGGCUCCAACUAGAAUCGUAAAUCCAAAGUUACUGCGAGGAUCAGUGAAGGAUUCUCUACAUUUCUAGCGGAUUGGAAGUCCGUUUCGAGCGUUUUCGGGUUUCGGACUAAAAUCGAGGUUUUGAAGUCUCGAUUCGUAGUUUUGAGGACCGUAGAGUUCGUAGUUGGGAUUCGGGUUAAGGUAUUUGUAAAACAGCUAUGUGGCGGCUAAUUACUGUACGCUGAAAUGUAUAGGGAUGUGAAUUCCAAAAUGAUUCCAGGUUUUGUGAAAUCGGCCAGUGGCGGCUAAUUACCGUACGCCGAAACAGCUAUAUGGUGGCUAAUUACCGUACGCUGUGCCAUGGAUCGGUUAACUACCGUAGGCAAGAGUGUCCGACUCUAUAUCCGAGGGUGCAAAAUAUCACCAAUCUAAUUCCGGUUGGUCGCCGAAGUGGUGUGAGCUAUAUGCUACAUUGUAUGAAGCAAUGGAUUCACUGUGGGCCUAAGUCGUUGCAGCGUAGUUUUGCAUGUGGCAAUGUAAUCGUGGUGAGACUAGGUGACCUUGUGUAGUUGCGUAUGUAGCAAUGUAAUCAUUAUUGGGCCUGAGUCAUAGAUCUUCGUAUUUGCAUGUGUAGAAAUGCAAUCGCUGUGAGACUAGGUGACCUUGCGUAGUUGCGUAUGAGUCAAUGGAUUCACCAUUGGGCCUUGAUCGUAGCAGCGUAGUUGCGUAUGUAGCAAUGUAAUCGCUGUGAGACGAGGUGACCUGGUGUAAUUGCGAACUAGUGUGACGACACUGACCGUAUGUAUGUAUGUUGGGUAUCGUAUGAACUGGAAUGGGUUUUUCUGAAAAUACUGGAACUGUAUGGAAUUGUUUGAAACUAUACGAAUUGUUUCAAACUGUAUCGUAUGUAUAGUGUUAUGAAGUAUGUGAAAUGACACUAGUAUGCCACAUACUGAUAUAAACUGUUUUCUUCCUUACUGAGGUGUCUCGCCCCGAAUGUACGUACAAUAUUUUCAAGGCCUUCAGGUAGCGGUAAGUAAUAACCUAGUGUCGGGAAGCAAGGGGUGUCGUAGCUACUGCUAGUACCUUUUAGGUACGAGUUUUGGUACCCAAGUUGUCGUGAUGAUUUUUGUAGACACCCGGGGUAUAUUUGUACUAUGGGAAUGUAUAUCCUAACUUGUGUAGACUCUGGUAUGAUACUGUUAUUGUAUAAAAGACUGUAUUCCACUGCGUA